rnacentral:rRNA from 1 species
GAUGAACGCUGGCGGCGUGCCUAAUACAUGCAAGUCGAGCGAACAGACGCGGAGCUUGCUCCUCUGACGUUAGCGGCGGACGGGUGAGAAACACGUGGAUAACCUACCUAUAAGUCUGGGAUCACCUCGGGAAACCGGAGCAUAUACCGGAGAAUAUAUUGAACCGCGUGGUUCAUUAGUAAAAGUCGGUGUUGCGGUCUCUUAUAGAUGGAUCCGCGCCGCAUUAGCUAGUUGGUAAGGUAACGGCUUACCAAGGCUACGAUGCGUAGCCGACCUGAGUGGGUGCUCGGCCACCUUGGAACUGAGACACGGUCCAUACUCCUACGGGAGGCAGCAGUAGGGUACCUUCCGCAAUGGGGGAAAGUAUUACGGAGCAACGCCGCGUGAGUGAUGAAGGUCUUCGGUUCGUAAUACUCUGUUAUGAGUGAUGAACAAAUGUGGAAGUAACUAUGCACUUCGUGACGGUACUUAAUCAGAAAGCCACGGCUAACUACGUG